GAUCCUGGCUCAGGAUGAACGCUAGCUACAGGCUUAACACAUGCAAGUCGAGGGGCAGCACAGUGUAGCAAUACACGGGUGGCGACCGGCGCACGGGUGCGUAACGCGUAUGUAACCUACCUCAAACAGGGGCAUAACACUGAGAAAUUGGUACUAAUUCCCCAUAACACUUCGGGAGGCAUCUCCUGGGGUUGAAAGUUCCGGCGGUUUGAGAUGGACAUGCGUUGUAUUAGCUAGUUGGUGAGGUAACGGCUCACCAAGGCGACGAUACAUAGGGGGACUGAGAGGUUAACCCCCCACAUUGGUACUGAGACACGGUCCAGACUCCUACGGGAGGCAGCAGUGAGGAAUAUUGGUCAAUGGUCGGAAGACUGAACCAGCCAUGCCGCGUGAAGGUGACGGCCCUAUGGGUCUUAAACUUCUUUUGUAAGGGAGCAAUAAGGAUCACGUGUGGUCUGAUGAGAGUACCUUACGAAUAAGCAUCGGCUAACUCCGUG
rnacentral:rRNA from 1 species